AUUGAACGCUGGCGGCAGGCUUAACACAUGCAAGUCGAGCGAGCGGCGGACGGGUGAGUAAUGUCUGGGAAACUGCCUGAUGGAGGGGGAUAACUACUGGAAACGGUAGCUAAUACCGCAUACCAUCAGAUGUGCCCAGAUGGGAUUAGAUAGUAGGUGGGGUAAUGGCUCACCUAGGCGACGAUCCCUAGCUGGUCUGAGAGGUUGAUCGGCCGCACUGGGACUGAGACACGGCCCAGACUCCUACGGGAGGCAGCAGUGGGGAAUAUUGCGCAAGGGGCGCAAGCCUGAUGCAGCCAUGCCGCGUGUGGGAAGAAGGCCCUAGGGUUGUAAAGUACUUUCAGUCGGGAGGCGUUACCGACAGAAGAAGCACCGGCUAACUCCGUGCCAGCAGCCGCGGUAAUUC
rnacentral:rRNA from 1 species